CCGACCUUAGUUCAGUUGGCUGAGCGGAGGACUGGAGAUCCUUAGGUCGCUGGUUCGAAUCCUGCAGGUCGGA